GUAGUUAGUCGUGGCUUAUUCUUUGGCUACCGUCAUUUGUUCGUCACCAAUUAAAGAACUUUACAAUCCGAAGACCUUCAUCAUUCACGCGGCGUUGCUAGGUCAGAGUUGCCUCCAUUGCCCAAUAUUCCCUACUGCUGCCUCCCGUAGGAGUCUGGACCGUUUCUCAGUUCCAGUGUGGCCGAUCAGCCUCUCAGCUCGGCUACCCAUCGUUGGCUUGGUGGGCCGUUACCUCACCAACUACCUAAUGGGACGCGAACCCCUCUUAAAGCGGAUUGCUCCUUUGACCUCAUCCCGAUGCCGGGUCGUGGUCUUAUGCGGUAUUAGCACUUGUUUCCAGGUGUUAUCCCCCUCUUUAAGGCAGGUUGUUCACGCGUUACUCACCCGUUCGCCACUAAGUACAAAACCGAAAUCUUGUACUCCGUUCGACUUGCAUGUGUUAGGCACGCCGCCAGCGUUCGUCCUGAGCCAGAAUCGAACCCUGA
rnacentral:rRNA from 1 species